AUUGAACGCUGGCGGCAUGCUUUACACAUGCAAGUCGAACGGUAACAGGUUAAGCUGACGAGUGGCGAACGGGUGAGUAAUGCAUCGGAACGUGCCCGAUCGUGGGGGAUAACGCAGCGAAAGCUGCGCUAAUACCGCAUACGAUCUGAGGAUGAAAGCGGGGGACCGUAAGGCCUCGCGCGAUCGGAGCGGCCGAUGUCAGAUUAGGUAGUUGGUGGGGUAAAGGCCCACCAAGCCGACGAUCUGUAGCUGGUCUGAGAGGACGCACCUGCCACACUGGGACUGAGACACGGCCCAGACUCCUACGGGAGGCAGCAGUGGGGAAUUUUGGACAAUGGGCGAAAGCCUGAUCCAGCAAUGCCGCGUGCAGGAAGAAGGCCUUCGGGUUGUAAACUGCUUUUGUACGGAGCGAAAAGGUCCUUUCUAAUACAAGGGGCUCAUGACGGUACCGUAAGAAUAAGCACCGGCUAACUACGUGCCAGCAGCCGCGGUAACAC
rnacentral:rRNA from 1 species